UGAGGGAUGAAAGGGGACACGGUGGGAGGAAUGAAGGGAGUGAAAAAAUGGAAGUAGAAGAAGAUACGGAAUGAAGAUGUAAAUGAGAGAAGGGAAAGGAAUGUGUGUUUGAAAGGUGAAGAGGAAGGUGAGGGAUGAAAGAGGGUACGGAAGGUUGAAAGCACACAAGAAACGAGGGAGAGAGAAAGAAGAAAAUAGAAGAUACCUUUGGAAAAAUGAAGGAAGGAAGAGAUGAGGUGUGGAAAAGAGAGGGAGGGGAUACAGAAGGUUGGAAGCACACGAGAAGAAAGGAAGAGGAUGGGAGAAGAGGCAGAAAGGGUGAGAGAAGGAUGAGGCUUAGGGAACAGAACAAGGAAGGCGAGGGAUGAAAGAAUUAAGGUAUGGACGGGUGGAGGCACGAGAGAAGAGGAGAGGGAAAAAAGGGGUGCAAGGGGAUAUAUGGAAAGAAGACAUAUAUAAGAGAAGGAUGGAAAGGAGUGUUUGUUCGGAAGGUAAAGGAGAUGAAGGAAAGAAAGAGAGGAAGAGGAGUGAUGAAAGGGGAGAGGGAAGAUUGGAACCACGAUAGAAGAGAGAGGGAGAGAAAGGAGUAGAAGAUACGGCGAGAAAAACUAAUGAAGAAAGGAAGAUGAGAAAGAAAG